rnacentral:rRNA from 1 species
GACGAACGCUGGCGGCGUGCUUAACACAUGCAAGUCGAACGGAAAGGCCUAGCUUGCUGGGUACUCGAGUGGCGAACGGGUGAGUAACACGUGGGUGUUCUGCCCCUGACUUUGGGAUAAGCCUGGGAAACUGGGGCUAAUACCGGAUAUUCAUUUUUCCUCGCAUGGGGAUUUGUGGAAAGCUUUGGCGGUUGGGGAUGGGCCGGCGGCCUAUCAGUUUGUUGGUGGGGUAAUGGCCUACCAAGGCGAUGACGGGGAGCCGGCCUGGGAGGGUGAACGGGGACAUGGGGAGGGAGAGACGGAGGAGAGGGGUACGGGGGGCAGUAGGGGGGAAUAUUGCGCAAUGGGGGGACGCGUGAGGAAAAGACGCUGGGUGCGGGAAGAAGGAUAUCGGGGGGUAAACGGAAGGAGGAGGAGACGAAGAGGGAGUGACGGUAAUGGGAAAAGAAGAACCGGCUAACUACGUG